rnacentral:rRNA from 1 species
UACAGGGGGUGCAAACGUUGCUCGGAAUCAUUGGGCGUAAAGCGCACGUAGGUGGUCUGUUAUGUUGGAUGUGAAAGCCCUCGGCUCAACUGAGGAAGUGCAUCCAAAACUGGCAGGCUAGAGUACUGGAGAGGGUCGCGGAAUUCCCCGGUGUAGAGGUGAAAUUCCGUAGAUAUCGGGGAGGAACACCCGGUGGCGAAGGCGGCGACCUGGACA